rnacentral:rRNA from 1 species
CGUAACAAGGUCUCCGUUGGUGAACCAGCGGAGGGAUCAUUACUGAGUUUACGCUCUAUAACCCUUUGUGAACAUACCUAUAACUGUUGCUUCGGCGGGUAGGGUCUCCGCGACCCUCCCGGCCUCCCGCCUCCGGGCGGGUCGGCGCCCGCCGGAGGAUAACCAAACUCUGAUUUAACGACGUUUCUUCUGAGUGGUACAAGCAAAUAAUCAAAACUUUUAACAACGGAUCUCUUGGUUCUGGCAUCGAUGAAGAACGCAGCGAAAUGCGAUAAGUAAUGUGAAUUGCAGAAUUCAGUGAAUCAUCGAAUCUUUGAACGCACAUUGCGCCCGCCAGCAUUCUGGCGGGCAUGCCUGUUCGAGCGUCAUUUCAACCCUCAAGCUCUGCUUGGUGUUGGGGCCCUACAGCUGAUGUAGGCCCUCAAAGGUAGUGGCGGACCCUCCCGGAGCCUCCUUUGCGUAGUAACUUUACGUCUCGCACUGGGAUCCGGAGGGACUCUUGCCGUAAAACCCCCCAAUUUUCCAAAGGUUGACCUCGG